UGAAAAGGAGGUGACUAAUACUGCCCAGUC
rnacentral:piRNA from 1 species